UGGGGAAUAUUGCACAAUGGGCGCAAGCCUGAUGCAGCCAUGCCGCGUGUGUGAAGAAGGCCUUCGGGUUGUAAAGCACUUUCAGCGGGGAGGAAGGCGAUAAGGUUAAUAACCUUGUCGAUUGACGUUACCCGCAGAAGAAGCACCGGCUAACUCCGUGCCAGCAGCCGCGGUAAUACGGAGGGUGCAAGCGUUCAUCGGAAUUACUGGGCGUAAAGCGCACGCAGGCGGUCUGUCAAGUCGGAUGUGAAAUCCCCGGGCUCAACCUGGGAACUGCAUUCGAAACUGGCAGGCUAGAGUCUUGUAGAUGGGAGUAGAAUUCCAGGUGUAGCGAUGAAAUGCGUAGAGAUCUGGAGGAAUACCGGUGGCGAAGGCGGCCCCCUGGACAAAGACUGACGCUCAGGUGCGAAAGCGUGGGGAGCAAACAGG
rnacentral:rRNA from 1 species